UACGUAGGGGGCAAGCGUUGUCCGGAAUUAUUGGGCGUAAAGAGCGUGUAGGCGGUCCGGUAAGUCGGCUGUGAAAGUCCAGGGCUCAACCCUGGGAUGCCGGUCGAUACUGCCGGACUAGAGUUCGGAAGAGGCGAAUGGAAUUCCCGGUGUAGCGGUGAAAUGCGCAGAUAUCGGGAAGAACACCCGUGGCGAAGGCGGUUCUCUGGGACGGUACUGACGCUGAGACGCGAAAGCGUGGGGAGCGAACAGG
rnacentral:rRNA from 1 species